UCUCUAUACUCGGCGACAGCUUUUCUUGACAUUGGAGCGAAGGCUACGGAGGCGGGGCCUCCGCACAUUUGUGUUACUACGCAAGUAGUCCGGCAGCUUGCAGCCGAUUUCAGUUCCAGUUUUGGUUUUCGCUUGCUCGCAUCCGGCACACAGAAUUCGUCGACAGCUCGGGCUGACGGCGCCUUACUCCUGCGUAGACGUUGCAGAUAACCUGCUUCGUUUGCUUGGAGACCCACUUUUUGUCACACUUAGUGUAUAGCCUCCUCGGAGAACUAAAAGGAGAGUUCGCGGCCGCACACGGUACUGCCGGCACCGCGGACGCCAUGUUUACUGCAAGAGCAAGCAGCAGGCGUGCGGAAAACGUGGUGCCGUCCAAGAAAUAAAAAAAGGAAAAAAAAUUAAGGCGCACGAUAGCUUCUUUUCCAUGAACAGCUUCCCAUACUUGUUCUAGCUUUAUAAUGAAGAACGUUUUAUUCAUUCGGGCCAAGUAGCUAUUAGAAUCAGAAAAUAAAAUAGGUACUAUUUCCUGGCGCGCGCGCAUGCAGGCGGUUCGGCUCUGUAGCUUCCACAGUGCUGUCAAGGAAAGCUGUCGCCGAGUAUA